AAGUCGUAACAAGGUUUCCGUAGGUGAACCUGCGGAAGGAUCAUUAGUGAAAUCGGUCUCCGGACCUUUAACACACACACAAACACCUGUGAACCGUCUGACCUCCGGGUCGAUCUAUACAAACACCAGUGUAAAGAACGUAUGAAUACAUAAACAAUAAUACAACUUUCAACAACGGAUCUCUUGGCUCUC
rnacentral:misc_RNA from 1 species